rnacentral:rRNA from 1 species
AGACCCGAAACCCGGUGAUCUAGCCAUGGGCAGGUUGAAGGUUGGGUAACACUAACUGGAGGACCGAACCGACUAAUGUUGAAAAAUUAGCGGAUGACCUGUGGCUGGGGGUGAAAGGCCAAUCAAACCGGGAGAUAGCUGGUUCUCCCCGAAAGCUAUUUAGGUAGCGCCUCGUGAAUUCAUCUCCGGGGGUAGAGCACUGUUUCGGCUAGGGGGCCAUCCCGGCUUACCAACCCGAUGCAAACUGCGAAUACCGGAGAAUGUUAUCACGGGAGACACACGGCGGGUGCUAACGUCCGUCGUGAAGAGGGAAACAACCCAGACCGCCAGCUAAGGUCCCAAAGUCAUGGUUAAGUGGGAAACGAUGUGGGAAGGCCCAGACAGCCAGGAUGUUGGCUUAGAAGCAGCCAUCAUUUAAAGAAAGCGUAAUAGCUCACUGGUCGAGUCGGCCUGCGCGGAAGAUGUAACGGGGCUAAACCAUGCACCGAAGCUGCGGCAGCGACACUAUGUGUUGUUGGGUAGGGGAGCGUUCUGUAAGCCUGUGAAGGUGUGUCGUGAGGCAUGCUGGAGGUAUCAGAAGUGCGAAUGCUGACAUAAGUAACGAUAAAGCGGGUGAAAAGCCCGCUCGCCGGAAGACCAAGGGUUCCUGUCCAACGUUAAUCGGGGCAGGGUGAGUCGACCCCUAAGGCGAGGCCGAAAGGCGUAGUCGAUGGGAAACGGGUUAAUAUUCCCGUACUUGGUGUUACUGCGAAGGGGGGACGGAGAAGGCUAUGUUGGCCGGGCGACGGUUGUCCCGGUUUAAGCGUGUAGGUGUGUGUUCCAGGUAAAUCCGGUUCACUUUAACACUGAGGCGUGAUGACGAGGCACUACGGUGCUGAAGCAACAAAUGCCCUGCUUCCAGGAAAAGCCUCUAAGCAUCAGGUAACAUCAAAUCGUACCCCAAACCGACACAGGUGGUCAGGUAGAGAAUACCAAGGCGCUUGAGAGAACUCGGGUGAAGGAACUAGGCAAAAUGGUGCCGUAACUUCGGGAGAAGGCACGCUGACACGUAGGUGAAGUGAUUUACUCACGGAGCUGAAGUCAGUCGAAGAUACCAGCUGGCUGCAACUGUUUAUUAAAAACACAGCACUGUGCAAACACGAAAGUGGACGUAUACGGUGUGACGCCUGCCCGGUGCCGGAAGGUUAAUUGAUGGGGUCAGCGCAAGCGAAGCUCCUGAUCGAAGCCCCGGUAAACGGCGGCCGUAACUAUAACGGUCCUAAGGUAGCGAAAUUCCUUGUCGGGUAAGUUCCGACCUGCACGAAUGGCGUAAUGAUGGCCAGGCUGUCUCCACCCGAGACUCAGUGAAAUUGAACUCGCUGUGAAGAUGCAGUGUACCCGCGGCAAGACGGAAAGACCCCGUGAACCUUUACUAUAGCUUGACACUGAACAUUGAGCCUUGAUGUGUAGGAUAGGUGGGAGGCUUUGAAGUGUGGACGCCAGUCUGCAUGGAGCCGACCUUGAAAUACCACCCUUUAAUGUUUGAUGUUCUAACGUGGACCCGU